rnacentral:rRNA from 1 species
GACGGAGGAUGCAAGCGUUAUCCGGAAUUAUUGGGCGUAUAGGGUGCGUAGGUGGCCUAUCAAGUCUGCUGUUAAAUCCCAGGGCUCAACUCUGGAUCAGCAGUGGAAACUGAUAGGCUAGAGUGCGGUAGGUGCAGAGCGAAUUCCCGGUGUAGUGGUGAAAUGCGUAGAUAUCGGGAAGAACACCAGUGGCGAAGGCGCACUGCUGGGCCGUAACUGACACUCAUUGACGAAAGCUAGGGGAGCGAAAGGG